ensembl:lncRNA
GUAAGUGAUGGUGCGUUUGGAUGAAAGGCCAUUUCUGCUCUGGUUACAGCUUCCACCUGGCCAGCACUGUCAGGCAGUCUCCGCAGGAGGACUGGACCAGCCUCCUUUGUCCAUGCUCUUCUCUGGUGAAGGGGCAGCUCAAGCCUAUACAAUUGAAGUUAUUCACUGAGUGUGGAAGAGUUGAUGCUUUUGAACUGUGGUGUUGGAGAAGAUGCUUGAGAGUCCCUUGGACUGCAAGGAGAUCCAACCUGUCCAUUCUAAAGGAGAUCAAUCCUGGGUAUUCAUUGGAAGGACUGAUGCGAAAGCUGAAACUCCAAUACUUUGGCCACCUCAUGCAAAGAGUUGACUCAUUGGAAAAGACUCUGAUGCUGGGAGGGAUUGGGGGCAGGAGAAGAAGGGGACGACAGAGGAUGAGAUGGCUGGAUGGCAUCACCAACUCGAUGGACAUGAGUUUGAGUGAACUCCAUGAGUUGGUGAUGGACAGGGAGGCCUGGCGUGCUGUGGUUCAUGGGGUCGCAAAGAGUCGAACAUGAACUGAACUGAGCGACUGAACUGAAAUGAACUGGCCUCCUAAAGUGUUAGCAACUAUGCUGCCUUUUUCUGUUCUUUGGAAGAGUUUGUUCAAGCUUGGUAUUAUUUCAUUCUUUUUUUUCUUUUUUUAAAUUUAUUUAUUUUAAUUGGAGGCUGAUUACUUUAUAAUAUUGCAUUGGUUUUGCCAUACAUCAAUGUUUGAAUUAAUUCACUGGUGAAGCCAUCUGGUUGCCUGCCAGUACUAAUCACUUUGAAAGAUACUCUUCCUUCAGAUGAUCUAACUGAUGCAGAUAAAGUCUACAUAUACAGGUUAAGAUUUCUAAACUGUAAUCUCGGAUGAUUUUCUGGACCAAAAAAGUGGUGAUGAUGAAAAAAAAAAAUAUGAUGGGUCAGUCCAGUAGAGAAAAAUUCAGAUAUAAUCAGGUAUUGGUCCAACCAUAUUCUGACUAUUCCAGUAUUUUACAUUAGAAAUAGGUGCUCUGGAAAAAAUUUUUAUAGACAAUUUUAUUUACAAAGCAGAAAUAGAGACACAGAGGUAGAGAACAAACAUAUGGAUACCAAACCAACAGGGAAAAGGGGGGAUGGGACAAACUGGGAGAUUGGGAUGAACAUAUAUACACUACUAUAUAUACAACAAACAACUAAUGAGAACCUACUCUAUAGCACAGGGAACUCUACUCAGUGCUCUGUGGUGACAUAAAGGGAAGGAAAUCCAAAAAAGAGGGGAUAUAUGGCAUGCUGCAGUCCAUGGGGUUGCAAACAGUUGGGCAACAAAAAAUGUAUACAUAUAGCUGAUUCACUUUGCUGAAUAGUAGAAACUAACACAACAUUGUAAAGCAACUAUAUGCUAAUAAAAAUUAAAAUAAAAAAGGAAAACUUUUUCCU